rnacentral:piRNA from 1 species
AGGGAGUUAUGCAUUUCCAAGUUGGGUUA